GCGCGCUUAGCUCAGUGGUAGAGCACUUCGUUUACACCGAAGGGGUCCGUGGUUCGAUCCCACGAGCGCGCA
rnacentral:tRNA from 1 species